AUGCUUCUCCUAAAGACUAAGCCAUGCAUGCCUAAGACUAUGAGGAAGCAAUUCUCUCUGAAUCUGCGAACGGCUCCGCAAACCAGUUGUAAACCAAAGCAAGCUUGCUCGGGUUGGGCUUCGGCCUGGCCUGGGUGAUACGGAUAACCCUGGUAAAUUCUGAGGCUAAUACGUGUAUGGAACACCGGUGACCGGCUCACGGCUGGGAUAUCGGAGACGAGUGAUGGAAUGUUUGGAUUACCAGGAACGGCG
rnacentral:rRNA from 1 species